AUGUUCGGUCGCUCCUUUUCUUCCUCUCGGUACAAGGCCGCCGCCGCCGCCGCAACGUCCCAAUCCAGAUCUAGCGCGAUGAAGAGGAGUGAUAUGAGGCCGGCCAGGCAGACGGAGCUGUGGGGGGCGGUGACGAAGAAGAGAUCCAAGGAGGAGCUGCGGAUGAUGAAGAAGAAUAUUUGUCCAAUUUGUUACCGUUCGCUCAGGCUAUUCAAAGUCGAAAAUAGGAUUCGUCGCUUGUUUCUCUCAAGCAAGCCCAACUGGAGGAAGGCGAUUGGGGCGGCCGCCGUGUCCAGGAUGCUGAUGAAGAAGAAGGCGAUGUGGGUGGCCGUCGUGACGAAGAUGAUGACGAGGAAGAAGGCGACAAGCUCCAAACUCAGCGAGGUGAAGGCGACAAGCCCCAAACGUAGCGAGGUUAGCGAGGUGAAGGCGGCGAGCCCCAAACCUAGCGAGGUUAGCGAGGUGAAGGCGGCGAGCCCCAACCCUAGCGAGGUGAAGGAGAUGUUGGCGGACGCCCAAUCGAUUGAGAAGGGCAGCAAGAACAUGGCGUGGGGCGGAGAGAGAAUGAGGAAGAUUGUGGCUGACGCCGAAUGGAAAAAGGAGGGCAGCAAUUACUUUACGUGGGGCGAAGAGACAACGAGGAAGUGGAGGGGAGAGAGGAUGACAAGGACGGAGACGUGGAAGUUUAGCGCGAAUUACCUGGUGUUCAUGAGGAAUACUCUCCCUCCCCUGCCCGUCGAAGACUUCUCUACUAGCAAUCCCUUCCUCCGCAUGAAUCAAGAAAUAGCAGCCACUCAAUACAAGGCUAGGCAUGAGUUCUGCGACUACGUCUUCAGCCAGCAUGAUGUCAGAAAAGGGUACUCGGAGUUCCAAGUGGAGGUCACCGACGACGGGGAAGUAAUGGUCCCGGCGAAGUUUCGUGACAACAAAGACAACGUUGCCUAG
rnacentral:rRNA from 1 species